rnacentral:pre_miRNA from 1 species
ACCUUUGCAAACUUAAUCUGGACACUACAAAAGAAUUGUGCAUGUGAAAGUAUGCUAAAAGAAUUGUGCAUGUGAAAAUAUGCACACUAUAAAUUUGUAGUGUUCAGAUUGAGUUUAUAACGGUUG